GAUGAACGCUGGCGGCGUGCCUAAUACAUGCAAGUCGAGCGAACAGAUAAGGAGCUUGCUCCUUUGACGUUAGCGGCGGACGGGUGAGUAACACGUGGGUAACCUACCUAUAAGACUGGGAUAACUUCGGGAAACCGGAGCUAAUACCGGAUAACAUAUUGAACCGCAUGGUUCAAUAGUGAAAGGCGGCUUUGCUGUCACUUAUAUAUGGAUCCGCGCCGUAUUAGCUAGUUGGUAAGGUAACGGCUUACCAAGGCAACGAUACGUAGCCGACCUGAGAGGGUGAUCGGCAACACUGGAACUGAGACACGGUCCAGACUCCUACGGGAGGCAGCAGUAGGGAAUCUUCCGCAAUGGGCGAAAGCCUGACGGAGCAACGCCGCGUGAGUGAUGAAGGUCUUCGGAUCGUAAAACUCUGUUAUCAGGGAAGAACAAAUGUGUAAGUAACUGUGCACAUCUUGACGGUACCUGAUCAGAAAGCCACGGCUAACUACGUG
rnacentral:rRNA from 1 species